rnacentral:piRNA from 1 species
AUGCUCAGGGCAUAGACCAAUCCUGGUGCGGU